rnacentral:rRNA from 1 species
UACCCAUCAGAGGGGAUACACUUUGAACAGGUCNCUAUCCGCCAUACAGUUAUGCCGCAUGGCAAUAGAGUGAAAGCGCUUUCGGGUUCGCUGAUUGGAUGGACCCCCGGUGCAUUAGCUAGUUGUNGAGGUACGGGCUCACCAAGGCCACGAUGCAUAGCCGACCUGAGAGGGUGAUCGGCCACACUGGGACUGAGACACGGCCCAGACUCCUACGGGAGGCAGCAGUAGGGAAUCUUCGGCAAUGGACGAAAGUCUGACCGAGCNACGCCGCGUGAGUGAAGAAGGUUUUCGGAUCGUAAAACUCUGUUGUUAGAGAAGAACAAGGACGUUAGUAACUGAACGUCCCCUGACGGUAUCUAACCAGAAAGCCACGGCUAACUACGUGCCAGCAGCCGCGGUAAUACGUAGGUGGCAAGCGUUGUCCGGAUUUAUUGGGCGUAAAGCGAGCGCAGGCGGUUUCUUAAGUCUGAUGUGAAAGCCCCCGGCUCAACCGGGGAGGGUCAUUGGAAACUGGGAGACUUGAGUGCAGAAGAGGAGAGUGGAAUUCCAUGUGUAGCCGGUGAAAUGCGUAGAUAUAUGGAGGAACACCAGUGGCGAAGGCGGCUCUCUGGUCUGUAACUGACGCUGAGGCUCGAAAGCGUGGGGAGCAAACAGGAUUAGAUACCUGGUAGUCCACGCCGUAAACGUAUGAGUGCUAAGUGUUGGAGGGUUUCCGCCCUUCAGUGCUGCAGCAAACGCAUUAAGCACUCCGCCUGGGGAGUACGACCGCAA